rnacentral:rRNA from 1 species
GACGAACGCUGGCGGCGUGCUUAACACAUGCAAGUCGAACGGAAAGGCCCUGCUUUUGUGGGGUGCUCGAGUGGCGAACGGGUGAGUAACACGUGAGUAACCUGCCCUUGACUUUGGGAUAACUUCAGGAAACUGGGGCUAAUACCGGAUAGGAGCUCCUGCUGCAUGGUGGGGGUUGGAAAGUUUCGGCGGUUGGGGAUGGACUCGCGGCUUAUCAGCUUGUUGGUGGGGUAGUGGCUUACCAAGGCUUUGACGGGUAGCCGGCCUGAGAGGGUGAACGGCCACAUUGGGACUGAGAUACGGCGCAGACUCCUACGGGAGGCAGCAGUGGGGAAUAUUGCACAAUGGGCGGAAGCCUGAUGCAGAAACGCCGCGUGCGGGAUGACGGCCUUCGGGUUGUAAACCGCUUUCGCAUGUGACGAAGCGUGAGUGACGGUAAUGGGUAAAGAAGCACCGGCUAACUACGUG